GAUGAAGGCUGGCGGCGUGCCUAAUACAUGCAAGUCGAGCGAACAGACGAGGAGCUUGCUCCUCUGACGUUAGCGGCGGACGGGUGAGUAACACGUGGAUAACCUACCUAUAAGACUGGUAUAACUUCGGGAAACCGUCGCUAAUACCGGAUAAUCUAUUGAACCGCAUGGUUCAAUAGUAAAAGACGGUUUUGCUGUCACUUAUAGAUGUAUUUCCGCCGCCUUAGCUAGUUGGUAAGGUAACCGCUUACCCAGGCGACGAGGAGUAGCCGACCUGAGCGGGUGAUCGGCCACACUGGAACUGAGACAAGGUCCAAACUCCUACGGGAGGCAGCAGUAGGGAAUCGUCCGCACUGGGCGAAAGCCUGACGGAGCACCGCCGGGUGAGUGAUGAAGGUAUUCGGAUCGUAAAACUCUGUUAUUAGGAAAGAACAAAUGUGUAAGUAACUAUGCACGUCUUGACGGUACCUAAUCAGAAAGCCACGCCUAACUACGUG
rnacentral:rRNA from 1 species